rnacentral:ncRNA from 1 species
CCCCUAUUUGGCAAUUUUGGAAAUAAAGUUUUAUUUUGGCAAUUUUACUUUUUUUAAGGUUACUUUACAUGUAAAAUAAAAUAUCUAAAAGAUUUUAUGAUUUAAUCGCAGUAUUUAAUAUUAAAAUUCCAGGAAAUUAGGAUUUGGUAAAUUUAUUUAGUUUUGGUAAAGUUUGUGCCAGCAACCGCGGUUAGACAAACAAGACAAAAAAGUAUUUUUGGAUAGAGUUAGACUUCAAUAUGGACAUAAAUUUCUUAUUUUUAGGUGAAAUUUUAAUAAGAUAUUAGAACAAAGUUUAAUUUGUUGAAGCUCAGAAUACCAGAUGAUUAACUAGGAUUAGAGACCCUACUAAACUGGAUGUUAAAUCGUAUCCGGAGUAGUAAAAGAUACGGGCUUAAAACUCAAAAAUUUGGCGGUGGUUUAACCAGUCAGAGGAAUUUGCCCCGUGAUUGACAGUCCACGUUUAACUCUGCUUAAUUUUGUAGACAGCUUGUAUACCGCCGUCAGCAGGAAAUUUUUGGAAAAUAUUUCCAAGAAGCUUUUAAGCAACAUGUCAGGUCAAGGUGCAGCUAAUAAUUAAGAGGGAGGUGAAUUACAAUAAAUUAAUUUAUUACGAAUAUUUUUAUGAAAAAUGGAUAGAAGGUGGAUUUGGGUGUAAUAAUUCUAAACUAAGAAUUAUGAUAUGGGCGCUAAACCGUGCACACAUCGCCCGUCGCUCUCGUAUAUAAAUGAGAUAAGUCGUAACAUAGUAGAUGUACCGGAAGGUGUAUCUAGAUUG